AUUGAACGCUGGCGGCAGGCUUAACACAUGCAAGUCGAGCGAGCGGCGGACGGGUGAGUAAUGUCUGGGAAACUGCCUGAUGGAGGGGGAUAACUACUGGAAACGGUAGCUAAUACCGCAUACCAUCAGAUGUGCCCAUAUGGGAUUAGCUAGUAGGUGGGGUAAUGGUUCACCUAGGGGACGAUCCCUAGCUGGUCUGAGAGGAUGAACAGGCACCAUUGAACGGGGACACCGUCCAGACUCCUACGGGGGGGAGCAGGGGGGAAUAAUGACCAAUGGGCGCAAGCCUGAAGCAGCCAUGCCGCGUGUGUGAAGAAGGCCUUCGGGUUGUAAAGCACUUUCAGCGCGGAGGCGUUACUCGCAGAAGAAGCACCGGCUAACUCCGUGCCAGCAGCCGCGGUAAUAC
rnacentral:rRNA from 1 species